rnacentral:rRNA from 1 species
UGAAUACGAGACGCUACGGCGUCGAAGCAGUCUAUGUCAUACUUCCAAGAAAAGCUCGCAAUGUCAUAAACAAAUAAUGCCUGUACCAUAACCGACACAGGUGGGUAGGUAGAGUAUACUAAGGGGCGCGAGAUAACUCUCUCUAAGGAACUCGGCAAAAUGACUCCGUAACUUCGGGAGAAGGAGUGCCUUAUUUAUAAGGUUGCAAUAACAAGAUCCAAGCAACUGUUUAUCAAAAACACAGGUCUCCGCUAAGUCGUAAGACGAUGUAUGGGGGCUGACGCCUGCCCAGUGCCAGAAGGUUAAAGAAGUUGGUUAGCAUUCGCGAGCUGAUAACUGAAGCCCUGGUUAACGGCGGCCGUAACUAUAACGGUCCUAAGGUAGCGAAAUUCCUUGUCGGGUAAGUUCCGACCCGCACGAAAGGCGUAAUGAUUUGGAUACUGUCUCGGAGAGGGGCUCGGUGAAAUAGACUUGUCUGUGAAGAUGCGGACUACCUGCACCUGGACAGAAAGACCCUAUGAAGCUUUACUGUAACUUGAGAUUGAAAUUGGACUUUAUUUGCGCAGCAUAGGUGGGAGGCGUUGAGAGUAUCCUUGCGGGGAUAUUGGAGCCAUCAGUGAGAUACCACUCUUGUAAUGUUAGAUUUCUAACUUUGGAUCAUUAUCUGGUCAAAGAACAGUUUCAGGCGGGCAGUUUGACUGGGGCGGUCGCCUCCCAAAUGGUAACGGAGGCGUACAAAGGUUUCCUCUGAACGGGUAGAAAUCGUAUCUAGAGUGUAAAGGCAUAAGGAAGCUUGACUGUGAGACCUACAAGUCGAGCAGGGACGAAAGUCGGUCUUAGUGAUCUGACGGUGCUGAGUGGAAAGGCCGUCACUCAACGGAUAAAGGUUACUCUAGGGAUAACAGGCUGAUCUCCCCCAAGAGUUCACAUCGACGGGGAGGUUUGGCACCUCGAUGUCGGCUCGUCGCAUCCUGGGGCGGUAGUACGUCCCAAGGGUUGGGCUGUUCGCCCAUGAAAGCGGUACGCGAGCUGGGUUCAGAACGUCGUGAGACAGUUCGGUCCAUAUCCGGUGUAGGUUUAGAAUAUUGAGAGGAGCCUUCUUUAGUACGAGAGGACCGAGAAGGACAUACCUCUGGUGUACCAGUUAUCGUGCCAACGGUAAACGCUGGGUAGCUAUGUAUGGAGAGGAUAACCGCUGGAAGCAUCUAAGUGGGAAGCCCACCUCAAGAUAAG